UACGAAGGGGGCUAGCGUUGUUCGGAAUCACUGGGCUUAAAGGGCGCGUAGGCGGCUCGCGAGGUCGGGGGUGAAAUCCCACGGCUUAACCGUGGAAGGGCCUUCGAUACCGGCGGGCUCGAGGAAGGUAGGGGUGCGCGGAACUUCUGGUGGAGCGGUGAAAUGCGUUGAUAUCAGAAGGAACGCCGGCGGCGAAAGCGGCGCACUGGAUCUUUUCUGACGCUGAGGCGCGAAAGCCAGGGGAGCAAACGGG
rnacentral:rRNA from 1 species